CAAGGAAUUUUCCGCAAUGGGCGCAAGCCUGACGGAGCAACGUCGCGUGGAGGAAGACGGUUUUCGGAUUGUAAACUCCUUUUGGGUGGGACGAUAAUGACGGUACCACCCGAAUAAGCCCCGGCUAACUCCGUGCCAGCAGCCGCGGUAAGACGGAGGGGGCAAGCGUUGUCCGGACUUACUGGGCGUAAAGGGUGCGUAGGCGGUUGUGUGCGUCCGCGCUGAAAUCGCUCGGCUUAACCGAGUGGCGCGUGCGGAUACGACAUAACUGGAGCCUCUGAGAGGGUGGCGGAACUCCUGGUGUAGUGGUGAAAUGCGUAGAGAUCAGGAAGAACACCCGUGGCGCAAGCGGCCACCUGGCAGAGUGCUGACGCUGAGGCACGAAAGCGUGGGGAGUGAACCGGAUUAGAUACCCGGGUAAUCCACGCCGUAAACGAUGUCGACUUGAGAUAUGGUUGCCUUACGGCGACGGUGUCUCUAAGCCAACGCGCAAGUCGACCGCCUGGGAACUACGAGCGCAAGC
rnacentral:rRNA from 1 species